rnacentral:ncRNA from 1 species
AAAAGCUCUUAAGGUAGCCAAGGGUAAGUCACGUGGGUAUCUAGAGGUCACGUGACAUUGGGCAAGUCACGUGGGAUUACAGAAGGAAGACAUAGGCCCACUGUCCCUAUCUACUAUCUAGCGAAACCACAGCCAAGGGAAUGGGCUUGGCAGAAUCAGCGGGGAAAGAAGACCCUGUUGAGCUUGACUCUAGUUUGACAUUGUGAAAAGACAUAGGAGGUGUAGAAUAGGUGGGAGCUUCGGCGCCGGUGAAAUACCACUACUCCUAUUGUUUUUUUACUUAUUCAAUGAAGCGGGGCUGGAUUUUCGUCCAACUUCUGGUAUUGAUUAAUAGGGACAGUCGGGGGCAUCAGUAUUCAAUUGUCAGAGGUGAAAUUCUUGGAUUUAUUGAAGACUAACUACUGCGAAAGCAUUUGCCAAGGAUGUUUUCAUUAAUCAGGAACGAAAGUUAGGGGAUCGAAGACGAUCAGAUACCGUCGUAGUCUUAACCAUAAACUAUGCCGACUAGGGAUCGGACGAUGUUAUUUUUUGACUCGUUCGGCACCUUACGAGAAAUCAAAGUGCUUGGGCU